GAAACUCUUAUAAGUUCAAAGUGGGAACUAAAGCCAAUGCAUUAAUGUGGUACACUUAUGUUCGAGAAGCCACGAAAGAGAAACUAGAUUAUAAGGUCCCGCAGAAUCUUAUCACGUUUGAGGAAAGUGAAGAGCAACAAAGCUAACGAAACCUCGGCUAAGGGACAAGAUUAAAUUAAAACCUCGAUACAGGAGAAGAAAAGAAGUAAAACGAUGACUCCGUUCAGUCGGACUUCGACAUUUUAAUUCUCCAUCAGCUGGGAGAUCAGGUCAUGCAAGUCAUGUCAGUGAUAGUCCUGACGCAACCUCGUUCCCAGGGUCUUUCUGUUGUUAAAACCCGAGAUGGCAGUCACGACAAAAGGUUUGUUGACCGGUAUGGCUGCCAGCUCGGAUUUCAGCGCCUUUAAGACCGUGUUGGUGAAGUUGACUCUGAUGUCCAGCGUGGAACAAUUCGUGCAACCGUUGUGCACAUUUUGAGGAAACAUAUGUUCUUGAAUAAGUUUUUAUACCAGCAAUGACGACCCUAAUGAAGGGACAGUUAUUAAGAUACAAAUUGUUGCUGUUUUUAUGAUCGAAAUUAAGAAUAAAUUUUAUUGUUGAUGAUUUAUAAGCUAUAAUAGUUAAGAAAAUCAUUUUUUAUGAAAGAAAUUUGUGCUGACAAGUCACUUUUAAUGGCCAAGCACGGUUGUGCUUUAAUGUGUUACAAUGUACGUUUUGUCGCAUACUUUUGCGAGAUCAUUUGUCGCCAGCGUCUGAUUGAAUUUUUAAUUAUCUAACUCGUUUAUGGCUUUUAUCUAAACAAGUUGGAAAACUCGAUAUUUUGGUAAAUAUAUUUAAACUGAUCAGUGUUGCCAACUUAUCACUGUUGGUGUUUGCAUUCAAAAAUUAUUUAAAACCGAAAAGCGUUCAAAGACCAGUACUUUUAUAAAUAUUGGUAUUCUGUUAAGUGUGGCAACACUUGCAGCGUUUAUAGGUGCAUGCCAAAGGGAAAAUAAGUAAGCUUUAUUACUUUCUCCUUUUGUGUUUGACUUCUUAUUGACGGACAUUGGAGUAGAAUUUUAUCGGAUAGAAAAGUCCCAGAGCCUCGAUAGCGGUUAAGAAAUUUCCUUUGAGUAAUUUAUGAAGAUGAUAGACUCGCGGUUAUUUAAUUUACUCUGUCGGUUGUGUCACGCGCAUGAUUGGGACUGUUCAUUGAAUUAAAGCUAUUUUGCUACAGUUUUAGGUUUAAGGAAUCGAUUGUCGUUACACCAGGUAGUCGCUGUCAGAGUAAAAUAAGACAGUUUUCGUAAACUAGACUUUUAGUUAGAUUGCUUCAGAAUAAGCGGUAUUUUAUUUCAACCAUGACAUCUUCGGAGUAAAGCUUAAUUAUGUUGAAGACAAACGGACUGCUUAUUUAAUGCCAUAAGGAUCACUGUAUUGUUUAAUGUUCUUUGAAGACGUGAACGCUGAAACUGUUUUAUUAAUUAAUUUAUGAAUCCUAUUUUAUUGCUAUUGCCCUGUACUAUUACAGAAUAAAUAACUUUGUUACCUUA